rnacentral:lncRNA from 1 species
UUUUAUACAAUAAAGACAAAAUAAUCUAGAGCCUUAGAUUUGAGAAGGAUAAGAUUGAAUUUUUACUUUUUCAAUGUUGCCUCAGCCUUGAUUCAAAUUAAUAUUUUAAAUAGGAUGAGCGGCUAUUUUAGAUCGAAGAAGAGUUCGAAGGGCCAAGGUCUGAAUCGUCUGAGGGAACCUCUAGCAACCCCCAAACGACGUUUCAGGGCCAGAUGACAGCCAGACGUGCGAGCCUUCUGGAGACGGCGCAGAGGCAGCCGGAGGUGCCCCUUUCAUCGAGGCAGGCGGCCGUCCCUCGUUCCUCGAGGCAGCUGUGGCCUCAGACCUAGACGGAGGUGUCUGCACCCCGUAUGCCUGAGAUACACCGGGCGCCCACUCCGGGUCCUACUUCUUCGGAUAGUGGGUCAUCUGGGGUACAGAUGCCGCCGCCUCAUAUGUUCCUUCCGCGGAUGAUACCGGCCUUACCUGUAGUCGAUGGCUCAGGGACGUCUAUUUAUCCACUGCCCCCGCCAGUGGCUCCAUCAGCGGCGUACCGGUUCGUGCCUUUUGAUACGCCUCUUAUUUCCGCGAGUGUAUCAUCAUCGGCGACAGAGACGGAAUCCGUCGCGUCCACCGCGAGCGCCUCAGGUAAUUAGUGAUGCAUGAUUACUUUUCUUAUAAUUAAUAAUAAAGGGUCUCCAAUUUUAAUAAUCAAUUUGGUUUAUCAUGUGAUAGGCACCGUCGGAGCGAAGCCGACAAAGAAGAAGAGAGACCCCGUCACAGGGAAAGCUCUCGAGAAGAUCGUGGGUACCGUGGGGAGGAUCGUCAUCAAUACUGACGGGGAUGGCCACAUAGUAUCGGGAGGGAAGUCGAGGACGUACUCCGGCCGCGUGGGAGCGCUCAUUAGGGAUAGAGUCCCUAUGUUGUGGUCAGACUAGGGCGAGGUCCCGCAGGAGGUUAAGGACAUGGUCCACAACGCGAUGUCGGUGAGUUUACAAAAUAAUAUUAUGUAUUACAUUAUUGAUUUCUCGAAAAACUAAACCAAUAAACGGUUAAAUGCAGGUGUGGUUUGAGGUUCCCGAGCACCUGAAGGACAACUGGGCCGACGUUGUGCAUGGGGGAAGGUACGUUGGGAAGUUAAUGAAAAACAAAAUUGUAUGUGAUAUUAAUAAUAUUUCUAAUAUUUUUGUUGUAUCUGUAGGUACAAGGAGUGGAAGAACGAGUUGCGGACCCACUGGACUACGCACGGGAACGCACGUUCUGGUACCCCUGCUGAGUUUCAGUACAGGGAGUACGAGUGGCGUUGGCUUUUGACAUCAGAAUUCAACAACCCUGGUAAACAGGUAUUUAAACAAAUUAAUUAGUUAAUUUGUCAUUAAGUACAUCCGUUUUUAAAUAUUUUACUAAUAAUUUAUUUUUUUCUUUGAAUGCCGUUUCCCGAGCAAACUCUCAGAACUGGCAACGCAACACAAGGAACCAUCAUGGCGGUUCUAGACCGUUCACUGUCUUCAUGGACGAGGCGGCCAGGGAACAUCCAGAAGUCAACCGGUACGUCUAUACGUACGAGAAGGCAUAUCCUGACUCCCAGGAGGAUAUUGUAAGUCAUUUUACGUUUUUAAAUAUAUAUAUGUCAAAAUGUUAAUUAAUAAUUUUUUUCCUAUCCAUAUAGGCGAAGGUGAGGGAGGCUAGUGACGAGGUGAUGAGUGCUAUAGUGAGGGAGACAUGGCCGGACACGCAGGAGGAAGAGAUGUCCGAAGCCAUGUCCCGGAUCGACACUUCGGAUCCGACGAUUGGGGCGAAGAUCAUGGGCACAGCCUUCCCACCUAGAGCAAACAACUUCUACUGCCGGGGUCUAGGAAAGAAAGCUGAGGGGGUCCUAAAGACCACUCCAGGAUUUCAACGAAAGGCAGCCUCGACCAGCAGCAGGACCACGUCCACGACCACCAGGACGACUCAGCUAGAGUCGGAAGUUCAGAGACUACGAGAACAGCAAACUGCUUAGGCUGCCUAUAAUGCCUCGUAGGCAGCCUAUAAUGCCGCGCAGGCAGCCUAUGUUGUCGAGAUACAUGUCAUCCAGCAGGCCCAGCAGCAGCAGAUGUUCCAGUACAUGCAGGACUUUACAGCUGCCCAGCUUUAGGGACUUCCGGCUCAGCCCAUGCCUACGGCUAUACUGCUACCCCAGCCGCCGCAACCUCCGCAGCAGCCCCCAGAAGCGGAUAUUAAUUUAGACGAUUUAGAUUUUGUGUAGUUGAUGAAUUAUAUAGUUUUAUGUGCUUGUUGUUGGUUAUAUGGAAUUGUUUUGGUGUAUUUUGCAGCUUGCUUGGAAUGGUAAUUCAG